ACCCGGAAAAGGCAAACCUCCUGAAGAACACGAGGUCACGGAAUCAGUAUUUAUCAUCCUCGAGGACAUCCGAGAAUUCGGGGGACUCAAGUGGCACAGAAAGUAAACCAACAAAGGUGCAGCCAUAUAUGCAAGAGAUGAGCAAGGUCUAUAACCAAUACAGGACUGUAAAUGCGCCUUUUCAAGACGAAAAAGCCGACACUUGGACGUUUUCGAAGAGACCGUCGGACAUAAGAGAUGCAAGACAUAAAGAAGAAGAGGGAACCUCGAAGCCCGUAAGGGAGACGAAGAGAGAGACCACAAACAAAGGACAAUCAGAC